rnacentral:misc_RNA from 1 species
CUUGUUAACAUUUUUUUGUGGGAGGCAGUAGCGUUUGGCUCUGCCGCAACCAAAAACUGCUCCUUUUUUAAAAGUAUCAGUAUAAACUGUAGAAGUAGAAAGCAUUCUACUAAAUUCAGAGUCCAUCAUGAACUCAAACUCCAUGUUGCUAUCCCCUAUGGAGAAGUGGUUGCCAUCUGUGCCUUUUGGAACACUAGCUCUGCAAGGGCUUGUGCUCAGCAGAAUCACCACCACCACCGCUGCGAUGACUGAUGGAGAGAAAAGCUUCAUUGAUCUGCCUCUUCC